rnacentral:rRNA from 1 species
GUGAAAGACAAAUCGGACUAGGAUAUAGCUGGUUUUCUGCGAAAUUGUCUUGGCAAUUGUUUAUGAAUGUAUAAAUAGUGGGUAUAGCACUGAAUACUUUGAGGGAGUAUUGUUAUAUUUAUCUCGAGUGUUUAAUCUCAAAAUAACUAUUUAUUUUAUGUAAGUAAUCAGACUAUUUGCGAUAAGGUAGAUAGUCAAAAGGGAAACAGCCCAGAACAGUUAUUAAAGCUCCCCAAUU